rnacentral:rRNA from 1 species
UAGCAUUAUACCGCGAAACUGCGAAUGGCUCAUUAUAUAAGUUAUCGUUUAUUUGAUAGUACCUUACUACUUGGAUAACCGUGGUAAUUCUAGAGCUAAUACAUGCUAAAAAUCCCGACUUCGGAAGGGAUGUAUUUAUUAGAUUAAAAACCAAUGCCCUUCGGGGCUCUCUGGUGAUUCAUGAUAACUUCUCGAAUCGCAUGGCCUUGUGCCGGCGAUGGUUCAUUCAAAUUUCUUCCCUAUCAACUUUCGAUGUUUGGGUAUUGGCCAAACAUGGUUGCAACGGGUAACGGAGGGUUAGGGCUCGACCCCGGAGAAGGAGCCUGAGAAACGGCUACUACAUCCAAGGAAGGCAGCAGGCGCGCAAAUUACCCAAUCCCGACACGGGGAGGUAGUGACAAUAAAUACUGAUACAGGGCUCUUUUGGGUCUUGUAAUUGGAAUGAGUACAAUUUAAAUCCCUUAACGAGGAACAAUUGGAGGGCAAGUCUGGUGCCAGCAGCCGCGGUAAUUCCAGCUCCAAUAGCGUAUAUUAAAGUUGUUGUGGUUAAAAAGCUCGUAGUUGAACCUUGGGCCUGGCUGGCCGGUCCGCCUCACCGCGUGUACUGGUCCGGCCGGGCCUUUCCCUCUGUGGAACCCCAUGCCCUUCACUGGGUGUGGCGGGGAAACAGGACUUUUACUUUGAAAAAAUUAGAGUGCUCCAGGCAGGCCUAUGCUCGAAUACAUUAGCAUGGAAUAAUAGAAUAGGACGUGUGGUUCUAUUUUGUUGGUUUCUAGGACCGCCGUAAUGAUUAAUAGGGACAGUCGGGGGCAUCAGUAUUCAAUUGUCAGAGGUGAAAUUCUUGGAUUUAUUGAAGACUAACUACUGCGAAAGCAUUUGCCAAGGAUGUUUUCAUUAAUCAGGAACGAAAGUUAGGGGAUCGAAGACGAUCAGAUACCGUCGUAGUCUUAACCAUAAACUAUGCCGACUAGGGAUCGGACGAUGUUAUUUUUUGACUCGUUCGGCACCUUACGAGAAAUCAAAGUGCUUGGGCUCCAC